rnacentral:rRNA from 1 species
CCUACGGGAGGCUGCAGUGAGGAAUAUUGGUCAAUGGUCGGGAGACUGAACCAGCCAAGCCGCGUGAGGGAUGAAGGUACAGAGUAUCGUAAACCUCUUUUGUCAGGGAACAAAGGCGGGGACGUGUCCCCGGAUGAGUGUACCUGAAGAAAAAGCAUCGGCUAACUCCGUGCCAGCAGCCGCGGUAAUACGGAGGAUGCGAGCGUUGUCCGGAUUUGUUGGGUUUAAAGGGUGCGCAGGCGGUCUGUUAAGACAGCGGUCAAAGCCCGGGGCUCAACCCCGGCCCGCCGUUGAAACUGGCAGUCUCGAGUUGGAGAGAAGUAUGCGGAAUGCGCGGUGUAGCGGUGAAAUGCAUAGAUAGCGCGCAGAACUCCGAUUGCGAAGGCAGCAUGCCGGCUCCACACUGACGCUGAGGCACGAAAGCGUGGGUAUCGAACAGGAUUAGAUACCCUAGUAGUC